CUGGCAGCCAGGAAGCGAGCCUGCCUCCAGCCAGUGCAGAUCCGGGAAUCUGUGGAUCCGCCUGACUCUGGUUGCUGACUAAGUGGCCUGGCGUUGAGUGCCUGCCUGUUGGGGCCACCUGACCUCAUGCCUGAGCGGUUCUCAUGGUGUCAGCUUGUACUGUGUCAGGGCCUCCUUCGCCAGGAGCUCAUGCCUCCAAAUGCCUCACUUGCUCACUGUCACAAUGGGCCACAUCACCAAUGACAGCAGCUUGAGGCGCUCAUCAAGCCUGAGCAGUCUGGCACAAGGGGACAAGGGUCCUUUUUAAAGCCAGGCACGCCUGUCAUCCCAGCACUUGGGGAGGCUGAGGCAGGAGGAUCACAAGUUCAAGUCCUGCUUAGACCACUUGGCAAGACCUGUCUUAAAGAAAAACAAGAAGAAAGGGGCUGGAGAGGUAGCUCAGCACAAAGGUCCCCGGGUUCAAUCACCAGUGCUGAGAAGAAGAGAAAGGAAGAUAUGAGAUGUGCCACACUGGGGGUUUCGGUUGCUAAGGCAGCCCCCUUCUGGCCCAAGUCCACCCAGAACCUCCCCUAGAGACCCCAGCCAUCAGCCAGGUCCUGCUGUGCAGUGACUGUGAGCAGUGAUCUCGAAGAGUGCGCUGGAGAAACAGGCUAGGAAAGGACCUUGCGGCUGAAUAGGGAAGGGUUUGGACAGGAAACAGAGCCCCAAGGACACUGCCUGGCACGGAGGAGCUUCCACGUUACAUGAGGCCUGGGGCUACCUGGGCCAAGGUGCCUUCUGUUCUCUCCUGGUGACAGGCACUGACCAUGCCAUACAGCCGGGACCACCGGCACCCAGCACUGCAGAGCUGCAACCUGCGCCUGGCUGAGCAAAUGCCCCAUCCGGGAACUUCGUGAUGUCUCUGCAGAGAAUUCUCUGGGUGUCCAGCCCAGGCCCUUGAACGAUGUGAACAUCGGUCCCAGCAUUCCCAGCUGUCAUCCGGAGGCCAGGGCUCCCAGCAGGGAAUGGAAGGUUCUGGAAGCCACACUUACAGAGGUCUUUGGAAAGUGACCUUCUCUGGAGGACUCCUUAGUUGUGUUAGUGGAACCGAAUUCCCUGGACUCCCAGGCAAAGACUCUGCUGCAGGAUUCUCCAAAAAACAAGCAGACAAAAGCAUAUCUCGAAUGGCAAGUCACAGUGUCCUCAAGGUAGAGCUGGAGAAACGGGGAUACAAAAGGGAAGCAGGUGUUCUCUGUGAGGUGACAGCCAUUCAUUCCCUGUCUCACGCACUCACGGAUUCAUUCAUGCAUUCAGCAGACGCUUUCUGAUUGGCUGCUGUCGGCCACGCCCAUGUAACGCUCUUGGGAAAUGGAGACAGAGUCACAUAUGGUUGGGCCUAAGGAUCAGUCUGUCCGUGCGCGACUGGAAGAACUGUGGGAAGAAGAGAGCUCGACCUGGGGAGGGGAGCAGGGAGCCGUCUCCUUGCUUUCUGGCGGGGUCUUCACGUGGGCGGUCUUGGGUGUUUGUGAGAAAUAAGAGUAAAAUCUAGUAUCUCCUCGACACUGCACCCUGCUGGGGCUGCAUGGCUUGUCCUGAGUCCAUUUGUUCCUUCUUUUGCAAACCUGCCGGAGCCCCUGCUACGUAUCAGGCGGAAGGGACAUGUCCUGGACUCGGUGCCCAUAGCCUGAGGCCCAGGUGGCAACAUUGGACAACAUGGAAAAUCUUGUCCCAAGGAGCUCAGCGUCCAGGGAGAAGCCAGGUCAGCAAGCAGAGGGCAUCAAGGCUGGGGUGCUGACCCGAAUGGGGCCGCGGGGUGGGGACUAGUGCACAGGGCUGGGUUGGCCAAGUGAAGGAGCCAGGGCACUGGGCUGCAGAGGUGGGAUGUGAGAGGCGGCCUGGCCGCAGAUGUGGGUGGGCCCAUUCUCCAGGGCUUCCCAGUCCUGAAGCUGUUUGUUCAUACACCAGCCAGCUACGAAGCCGGUAUGUAAGGGUGACGCGUAGUGCAGACAAGCCAAGACUCCAGGGAUUGGUUAGUGAGCGCCUAACAGGUGGCAAGCCACACUCAAGGGCAGGGGGCAGAUAGAAAUGGGGACUCGGCCUCUUGUCCUCAGAGAGGCCACAGCUAGAUGGAGACGGCGAGGUGCCCAGCCAGUUCCAGAGCGCUGGCUUUUAGAAGAAGCAGAGCCAGCCCACCAGCAGUGAC
ensembl:lncRNA